rnacentral:rRNA from 1 species
GACGAACGCUGGCGGCGUGCUUAACACAUGCAAGUCGAACGGAAAGGCCCUGCUUUUGUGGGGUGCUCGAGUGGCGAACUGGUGAGUAACACGUGAGUAACCUGCCCUUGACUUUGGGAUAACUUCAGGAAACUGGGGCUAAUACCGGAUAGGAGCUCCUGCUGCAUGGUGGGGGUUGGAAAGUUUCGGCGGUUGGGGAUGUACUCGCGGCUUAUCAGCUUGUUGGUGGGGUAGUGACUUACCAAGGCUUUGACGGGUAGCCGGCCUGAGAGGGUGACCGGACAAAUUGGGACUGAGAUACGGCCCAGACUCCUACGGGAGGCAGCAGUGGGGAAUAUUGCACAAUGGGAGGAAGCCUGAUGCAGCGACGCCGCGUGCGGGAUGACGGCCUUCGGGUUGUAAACCGCUUUCGCCUGUGACGAAGCGUGAGUGACGGUAAUGGGUAAAGAAGCACCGGCUAACUACGUG